rnacentral:miRNA from 1 species
GAUCGUCAAGCGCGAAGAUGAGG